rnacentral:rRNA from 1 species
AGUGAACGCUGGCGGUAGGCCUAACACAUGCAAGUCGAACGGCAGCACAGUAAGAGCUUGCUCUUACGGGUGGCGAGUGGCGGACGGGUGAGGAAUACAUCGGAAUCUACUUUUUCGUGGGGGAUAACGUAGGGAAACUUACGCUAAUACCGCAUACGACCUACGGGUGAAAGCAGGGGAUCUUCGGACCUUGCGCGAUUGAAUGAGCCGAUGUCGGAUUAGCUAGUUGGCAGGGUAAAGGCCCACCAAGGCGACGAUCCGUAGCUGGUCUGAGAGGAUGAUCAGCCAAACUGGAACUGAGACACGGUCCAGACUCCUACGGGAGGCAGCAGUGGGGAAUAUUGGACAAUGGGCGCAAGCCUGAUCCAGCCAUACCGCGUGGGUGAAGAAGGCCUUCGGGUUGUAAAGCCCUUUUGUUGGGAAAGAAAAGCAGCAGGUUAAUACCCCGCUGUUCUGACGGUACCCAAAGAAUAAGCACCGGCUAACUUCGUG